AAAAUAUAUUGGAGCGGGUCAACUUCCAAACUGGGUCAAGAAUUCGGGAGAAACUUAAGACAAUGUAACAAGAAGAGAAGCUCCCUAUCUCGCCGAGAAUGAGAGGAUUGGUGGUGAGAAAGAAGUGACCCUCUUCUAAGACGUAUUUUGGUUGGGUCAUAAACUCGUUUCGAAAGUGAAUCGUAUCAAUUCAAAGACGAAAUUGUUGGAAGCAACGAAUAUAACGAAGGAGCAGUGAAGUGUAGAAGCACAAUUGUCCAACCUCCAGUUGAAACUCCUACUGGAUUUCUUUCAGGAGGAUCAACCUAGUUAAAUUUUUUAGCAGUCCACUGAUGUUUUUUCUUAUAUUUUUUUCUCUUGUAAAAUCAUGGAUGAUUUUCCUCCCCCAAUUUUGCAUUGCAGAGUUUCUUUUACUCUUACACGGAAGGACUUAAUUUGACAACAGAAUAAUUUGUUUGAUAGCUCGGCUGAAUAGUUUCUUUGCUCUUCUUUUACUAUUUUUUUUAUACAUUCUAAGUUGUUGAUAUAUCUUGGAAAUUAUGGAUUUAUGGAUAUUGUCUUUGUUUUUCAA